AGACUCAUGUUUGUAUCCCUCGGCUCAGAAAUGGAAUUUGGAGCUGACUUAGUGUUUUUGGCUGUUAAGCCCUUGACAUUUUACAUUGGUGAAGUUUCACUGUGUCCUCUGCAAACAGGGACAAUGGAAAGGUUGUUAUAUGGAAUGUCUGUAAAUUCUAAUACUUGAAGCGGACCCAGGAGUGGUAGGUCUCAUAAUUAACAACAUUCAGACAAUCACUGUCUUUGUUUUUCCCUCUAGUGGUGCCUGUGGAGAGGUAAAGCUGGCUUUCGAGAGGAAAACAUGUAAGAAAGUAGCCAUAAAGAUCAUCAGCAAAAGGAAGUUUGCUAUUGGUUCAGCAAGAGAGACAGACCCAGCUCUCAAUGUUGAAACAGAAAUAGAAAUUUUGAAAAAGCUAAAUCAUCCUUGCAUCAUCAAGAUUAAAAACUUUUUUGAUGCAGAAGAUUAUUAUAUUGUUUUGGAAUUGAUGGAAGGGGGAGAGCUGUUUGACAAAGUGGUGGGGAAUAAACGCCUGAAAGAAGCUACCUGCAAGCUCUAUUUUUACCAGAUGCUCUUGGCUGUGCAGUACCUUCAUGAAAACGGUAUUAUACACCGUGACUUAAAGCCAGA
rnacentral:sRNA from 1 species